rnacentral:misc_RNA from 1 species
UUUUGUAAGCUUCGAGGAGGAAAACGUAAUUAUGUCUUGUGAAUCCGCGCUAGAACGAAUAUGGGGGGGGAGAGACGCCAUGGCGUUGUUUACAUCCCGGGGCCCAGUAGCAGGUCCCAGCCUCUUCCUUCUCGGGUGAUUUCUAGAGUAAAUAAUUGAGAGAAGACUACAAGUGUGUCCCAUCCCUGAAUUGGGAGUUCCCUGCUUUGUGCUUUUAAGUCAGGCCAACAGGUUGAGACUCAAGCUGUUUUGGUCAGGACUUGAGGAUGUUGACCAGAGUCCGCUAAUAUCCUUCAAUAUUUAGUGUUACAGACACCUGCUCCAAGUGAUACGCCAUGACAGAAGUGUUCCGGUUCGGCCUCGUGCCCAUCGCUUGUCGUGCCCGGAAUGAGGACCGCAGCCAAGUGGCAUUGAGUCUCAACAACAAUGAAGUGAAUAUAUAUGGCAGAGCUGCAUCAGAGUGGAAGCUUCAGGAAACACUCCAGGGUCAUGAUCUGCGUGUCACAGGCAUUGACUGGGCUCCCAGCACCAAUCGCAUUGUUACAUGUGGAGCACUUCGAGGAGGAAAACGUAAUUUUGUCUUGUGAAUCCGCGCUAGAACGAAUAUGCAUCCCAGCCGGGGGGGGAGAGACGCCAUGGCGUUGUUUACAUCCCGGGGCCCAGUAGCAGGUGACCUUCCUGGAAAUUACCGAGACUUAGUGUGCUUU